GUCUAAAGUUGCAAUAAAAGUUGACGUUAUCGACCGUCAACAAUUCCUCCAAGCUUACCUUUUGCCAGUCCCUUGGCAAACCAAGCCUAAGCAAUAUAUGUAUUUGGAUCAAGAGUUGCUACAAUGUUUUCAUUCUUCCAAGUACACAUGCUCCCAAACAAAGAUUGUCCUCUGGAUUAGUUAAUACUUGCUCUAAUCUUCAAACUUACCCGUUUUAACUUUAACCGUGGGGCUUUAUAGCUUUUGAAUGAGUCUUGAGCAAUCAGAAGAUAGAAUCAAUUAGGUCAAGCACUAUGUCUCAAGUUCUUUGCAGAACCAUUAGUUUGGAGUUUUUAUAAGUUUUCAGAAUAAAACUCAGAGCUUAAUUAUAUGACACCCUCAAGUCUCUCAAUGUAUGUGGUAUUUAUGGUUCUCUCUUGAGGAAUUAAUGAUGUUAUGCCUCCUAUAGCUAAAGGUAUAUAUAUGGUAGAGCUUAUAGGAGUGCUAAUAACAAGGAUAAGCAUACUUGCAAUGCAUGUAUUGUAAAGUCAACUAAUGUAUCUAUAGAGAAUCGAGGCAUACAAUCAAACCAAGGUGUGCAUGUGUAUGGAAUAUGGUGGAUAGGUGCAUUUGUGGUAUUUGUGGCUAAUUUUUUUAUUUCUUUGGGAACAACCCUCUAUUGAAACUUUUCAGGAAAGACAUGGGCUAUCUCUUCUCUUUUUUUUUUAAUUCAGGGAGGCGGGCAUCUAGUCUCCAUUGUUUUAAUUAUUGGGACACUUGUCCAUCUUUUACUCACUUUUCUUCUUUUAUAUUUUUGCAUAGCCACAUGUAUCCUUUAAAUACAAUAAAUGAUCAGAGAGGUAAUAAUAAGAACUAAGAACAUUAAAGGCAAGGGUUAUCCUAUAGGGUGAUUGUUGAUGUUUACUCCCAGUGUAGGAGAAAAAACAUGAUUGAUGAACAUGGAAAUGAUUGUGAUUACUCCCAGUGUGGGAAUAAUGCAUAUGUGAACUGGAGUGUGUACGUGAUCUUGGUUUUAAAAGCAUGAGAAGACUCUUGUAAGGUAUACGACCAAGAUUGACUGAACUCAAUGCAAAGCAAGCAGCAUAAAUGUGCAAAUGUUUUCCUAACUCUAAAUGUAUAUUAUAUCUAGCUUUGGUAGGAAUUAGUACUUUGUCAUACAAGAGCUCAUCAUGUAGGAUUUUGGGUUUUCAAAAUAAAUCUCCAGAACUUAGUAAUGCUAGGAAUAAGAUAAAUAACAGCUCAGACUUUCAAUGAUCAUAUCAACUAACUAUCUAGACUUAGCUCAAACUUAUGUCUCCACAAGUUGCAGGUUUAGAGUAAAUCUUCAAAUUAAAACAGUAAUGUCCAAAACUUGAGAAAAUCUAAUGUUGG
rnacentral:lncRNA from 1 species